ACGGAGUUAGCCGGCGCUUAUUCAUAUAGUACCGUCAUUAUCUUCCUAUAUAAAAGGAGUUUACGCACCGAAAUGUGUCAUCCUCCACGCGGCGUUGCUGCAUCAGGCUUUCGCCCAUUGUGCAAUAUUCCCC
rnacentral:rRNA from 1 species